rnacentral:hammerhead_ribozyme from 1 species
AUUCAGCUGACGAGUCUCAAGGAGGACAAAACGCGCGUCGUGGAU